UAAGGGCGCACGGUGGAUGCCUUGGCACUAGAAGCCGAUGAAGGACGUUACUAACGACGAUAUGCUUUGGGGAGCUGUAAGUAAGCUUUGAUCCAGAGAUUUCCGAAUGGGGAAACCCAGCAUGAGUUAUGUCAUGUUAUCGAUAUGUGAAUACAUAGCAUAUCAGAAGGCACACCCGGAGAACUGAAACAUCUUAGUACCCGGAGGAAGAGAAAGAAAAUUCGAUUCCCUUAGUAGCGGCGAGCGAAACGGGAAGAGCCCAAACCAACAAGCUUGCUUGUUGGGGUUGUAGGACACUCUAUACGGAGUUACAAAGGACGACAUUAGACGAAUCAUCUGGAAAGAUGAAUCAAAGAAGGUAAUAAUCCUGUAGUCGAAAAUGUUGUCUCUCUUGAGUGGAU
rnacentral:rRNA from 1 species